rnacentral:lncRNA from 1 species
GUGGUGACCACCAUGUCGGUGAGGGUGCGGUUCCUGUCCUCCGGGGACGCGGGGACCGUGGGGGUCAUGGGCCGGAGCGCCUCCUUCGCGGGCUUCAGCAGCGCCCAGAGCCGGAGGAUCGCAAAGUCCAUCCACAGGAACUCAGUGAGGUCUCGGGUGCCUGCGAAAUCCUCCAAGACGUACGGCACACUGCGGAAGGGGUGCAUCUGCUCCGACCCCAAGCCCCAGCAAGUGAAGAAGAUCUUCGAAGCGCUGAAGAGGGGGCUCGCUUUCUAUUAUGACCUGGACAAGCAAACGCGCUCAGUGGAGAGGCACAUUCGGAAGAUGGAGUUUCACAUCAGCAAGGUGGACGAGCUCUACGAGGGCUAUAGUAUCCAGUGCCGCCUGCGCGACGGCGCCUCCAACAUGCAGCGAGCCUUCUCCCGGUGCCCGCCCAGCCGCGCCUCCCGAGAGAGCCUGCAGGAGCUGGGCCGCAGCCUGCAGGAGUGCGCCGAGGACAUGUGGCUCAUCGAGGGGGCCCUGGAGGUUCACCUGGGCGAGUUCCACGUCAAGAUGAAAGGCUUGGUGGGCUACGCACGUCUUUGUCCUGGAGACCAGUACGAGGUGCUCCUGCGUCUGGGCCGCCAGCGCUGGAAGCUGCGGGGCCGCAUCGAGUCGGACGACAGCCAGACCUGGGACGAGGAGGAGAAGGCCUUCAUCCCCACCCUACACGAGAACUUCGAGAUCAAGGUGACAGAGCUGCGCGGCCUGAGCUCGCUGGCGGUGGGCGCGGUGACCUGUGACAUCACCGACUUCUUCACCACCCGGCCGCAGGUCAUCGUGGUGGACAUCACAGAGCUGGGCACCAUCAAGCUGCAGCUGGAGGUGCUGUGGAACCCAUUUGAUACCGAGAGCUUCCUGGUGUCGCCCAGCCCCCCGGGCAAGUUCUCCAUAGGGAGCAGAAAGGGCUCCUUAUACAACUGGACACCCCCAAACACCCCCAGCUUCCGGGAGAGAUACUACCUGUCUGUUGUGCAGCCGCGGGCACAGCAGGCCUUGCCGCUGGACAGGCCAAGGGCCCCCUCCGUCCUCAGCUGCCUGUCUGACGGCGACCUUCGGGGCCCCGGCCUGCGGAGCCGCAGUCAGGAACUGCCCGAGAUGGACUCCUUUAGCUCCGAGGACCCCCGAGACACGGAGACCAGCACGUCAGCGUCCACCUCGGAUGUGGGCUUCCUGCCCUCGGCCAUGGGCCCCAACACCUCCAUCGAAGAGGAGGCCCAAGAGGACCCCCCACCCCUGGGCCUCCUGCCGGACAUGCUGCACCUGGCGGAGGGCUCGUUUGUGGAGCAGCCGGGCUGGAGAGACCUGGGGGUGGGAACCCCCGACCUGUCACGGGGCUCCCCCUUCCACAACGAAGCGCUCCCGGGGAGCCAGGGAGGCCCCGACGAAGGAGACCCCGAGGACACGGAGGGUGGGCCUGCACUGUCCCUCGAGAGGCCUCUGCAGGAGGUGCUGGACUUACUGAGGUCCGUGGACCCUGCCCCGCCGCAGCUCCGGGAGCUGGAGUACCAGAUCCUCACCUUCAGGGAGCGGCUGAAGCCCCGCAGAGCUCACCGGGAGCACGCGUCCACUGAGAGCCUAAUGGAGUGCAUCCUGGAAAGCUUCUCCUUCCUCAACGCCCACAUCGCCCCCCACGAGCUGGCCCUUUUUGGGGGCUCCCAGGGCCUGCGAAAGGACAAGAGUCCACCUCCACCACCAUCGCUGAGAGCGUCGUCCAGGGAGCUCACAGCUGGUGCCCCAGAGCUGGACGUGCUGCUCACGGUUCACCUCCAGGUCUGCAAAGCACUGCUGCAGAAACUGGGCUCCCCUAAUCUGUCGCGGAUGGUCCAGGAGUGCCUUCUGGAAGAAGCUGCGCAGCAGAAGCAGGUUCUAGAGACACUUUCUGUGCUUGACUUUGAGAAGGUCAGCAAAGCGAUGUCCAUUGAGGAGAUCCUCCCACAGGCCACGCGGAGGAGGGGCUGCCUGAAGCUCUGGAGGGGCUGCACGGGGCCCGGUACCACCCUGUCCUGCCCGGGGACAGCACUGCUGGACCAGCUCAAGAAGACGUUUCUGCACAGAGUCAGGGGGAAAUACCCGGGACAGCUAGAGAUAGCCUGUCGCAGGCUCCUGGAGCAGGUGGUCAGCUGCGGCGGGCUGCUGCCUGGAGCCGGGCUCCCCGAGGAACAGACCGUCACCUGGUUCCAGUUUCACAGCUACCUUCGGAGGCAGAGCGUCUCCGACCUGGAGAAGCACUUCGCCCAGCUCACCAAGGAAGUAACACUCGCGGAGGAACUGCAGUGCAGGGCCCAGGCCAGGACAGUCAGGAAGCUGCAGGGGAAGCGGCUGGGCCAGCUCCAGCCCCUGCCACAGACACUGAGGGCCUGGGCGCUGCUCCAGCUGGAUGGACCCCCCCGGGCGUGCAGAGCAGCCAGCGCCCGCCUGGCUGACGCGGCCAGAAACAAGAGCUUUCGGGAAAAGGCUUUGCUCUUCUACACCAACGCCCUGACUGAAAAUGAUGCACAACUCCAGCAAGCUGCAUGCGUGGCGCUAAGACAUCUCCGGGGCGUGGAAAGCAUCGAUCAGAUCGCCAGCCUGUGCCAGUCUGACGUGGAGGCCGUGCGUGUGGCCGCCCGGGAAACCACGCUGUCAUUUGGGGAGAAAGGCCGCUUGGCUUUUGAGAAGAUGGACAGACUCUGCUCAGAACAGAGAGAUGUGGCCUUUGGCCAGGAGGCAGAUGUUGAAAUCACAAUCUUUUAAAAAGCCUCGGCUGAUGGGCUCACAUCCGGCGUCCUUGUCUGUGCUGCAGCCUGGCCCCAACACAGGGAGGGUUUUGGGAGGGUGUGGCUGGGGGCAGGCUGAGCGCUCCCCAAGAAGCACCAACUGGCCAAGCUGCUUCCUAAACAUCCAGGCCAGUUACGAAGCCCCGGGGCAUACGUGGGACUUCCGUCCCGGGACAGAGCAAGCACGGCACUUUUGAGGGCUGCACUCCGGUCUGCCUUUGGCUUUGAGCAUCUGCCCGACUUUCUGCAGGUUGCAGAGGCAGGUCAGUGAUGGCUGGUCCUGCUACCAGGAGGCCAAGGCUGGGAGUCAGCAGGGCAGCCGGCUCGGCACUAUCUGGUUCCCUCAAGCCUGGGACUGAGGUGGCGAGCAGGCCAGCUGACCCUGCUAAGGAGGCAGUGUGGGCCGGGGGGCACGCGGGAGGGCCCAGCCAGGGUGUCCACUGUUCACUUCAGCCCGACAUGCAGCCCAGACGCCCAUGGAGCCGGGCGGCCUGCCAACCAUGGACCUUGAUCUCACUGUGGUUGUAUGACACGAGGAAACAAGGACGGGGCCUCAGCCGAGAAGCUGAGUGUUCUUUGCUUUGACCUUCGCCAGUCAGAACAGAGGGGCCUCCCUGAUGGCUCGACGGUAAUCAAUCUGCCUGCAUCGCGGGAGACUCAGGGUUCGAUCCCUGGGUCGGGAACAUCCCCAGGAGGAGGAAAUGGCAACCCCACUCCAGCGUUCUUGCCUGGAGAAUUCCAUGGACAGAGGAGCCUGGCGGGCUGCCUAAGCACAAUGAAGCACAAAUCAAAAUGGAAUUUUGAAGCAAGUCCACUUAGGGCUUAUUAAAUAAACUGCUUCAGAGGCCAUGCGCUGGUCUGAAG